CAGUGUGAUGGAAACAACGAUUAUGUGUACGUGAAGGUCAAUAUGCCUUACUUUAUGAGCGCGCUUAUUGAAUACUAAAUCAAACUCAACAGGUCUGACUG